rnacentral:ncRNA from 1 species
UUUCGGGGCGGAGUGAAAUUCUCCACCGGCGGUUAAAGCCCGCGAGCCUUUUUGGCAGAUUUGGUGCAAUUCCAAAGCCGACAGUACAGUCUGGAAGAGAGAAA